rnacentral:piRNA from 1 species
UGCAGUACUUCCAGGAACGGUGC